rnacentral:rRNA from 1 species
CAAAGGAAUUACGGGGCCCGCACAAGCGGUGGAGCAUGUGGUUUAAUUCGAAGCAACGCGAAGAACCUUACCAGGUCUUGACAUCCCCUGACAACCGAGAGAUCGGGCGUUCCCCUUCGGGGGACAGGGUGACAGGUGGUGCAUGGUUGUCGUCAGCUCGUGUCGUGAGAUGUUGGGUUAAGUCCCGCAACGAGCGCAACCCUCGACCUUAGUUGCCAGCAUUCAGUUGGGCACUCUAAGGUGACUGCCGGCUAAAAGUCGGAGGAAGGUGGGGAUGACGUCAAAUCAUCAUGCCCCUUAUGACCUGGGCUACACACGUGCUACAAUGGGCGGUACAAAGGGUCGCGAACCCGCGAGGGGGAGCCAAUCCCAAAAAGCCGCUCUCAGUUCGGAUUGCAGGCUGCAACUCGCCUGCAUGAAGCCGGAAUCGCUAGUAAUCGCGGAUCAGAAUGUCACGGUGAAUACGUUCCCGGGUCUU